UACGUAGGGCGCAAGCGUUGUCCGGAAUUACUGGGCGUAAAGCGCGCGCAGGCGGUCUUUUAAGUUCCUUGUGAAAUUCCGGGGCUCAACCCCGGAGAUGCGUGGAAUACUGGAAGACUAGAGACCGGUAGAGGCUAGCGGAAUUCCUGGUGUAGCGGUGGAAUGCGUAGAUAUCAGGAGGAACACCAGUGGCGAAGGCGGCUAGCUGGGCCGGGUCUGACGCUCAGGUGCGAAAGCGUGGGGAGCAAACAGG
rnacentral:misc_RNA from 1 species